rnacentral:rRNA from 1 species
AGCCAAUAGAUACCCCGGUAGUCCACGCCCUAAACGAUGUCUACUAGUUGUUGGUGGAGUAAAAUCCAUGAGUAAACGCAGCUAAACGCGUGAAGUAGACCGCCUGGGGAGUACGGUCGCAAGAUUAAAAACUCAAAGGAAUUGACGGGGGCCCGCACAAGCGGUGGAUUAUGUGGAUUAAAUUCGAUGCAACGCGAAAAACCUUACCUGGCCUUGACAUGCCACUAACGAAGCAGAGAUGCAUUAGGUGCCCGUAAGGGAAAGUGGACACAGGUGCUGCAUGGCUGUCGUCAGCUCGUGUCGUGAGAUGUUGGGUUAAGUCCCGCAACGAGCGCAACCCUUGCCAUUAAUUGCCAUCAUUUAGUUGGGCACUUUAAUGGGACUGCCGGUGACAAACCGGAGGAAGGUGGGGAUGACGUCAAGUCCUCAUGGCCCUUAUGGCCAGGGCUUCACACGUAAUACAAUGGUCGGUACAGAGAGUUGCCAACCCGCGAGGGGAGCUAAUCUCAGAAAGCCGAUCGUAGUCCGGAUUGUUCU